GGAUGCUGGCAUAAUGGUCGUCAACGACCCGUCUUGAAACACGGACCAAGGAGUCGAACAUUUGUGCGAGUGUUUGGGUGUUAAACCCUCACGCGUAAUGAAAGUGAACGGAGGUGAGAGCCCUUACGGGUGCAUCAUCGACCGAUCCUGAUGUCUUCGGAUGGAUUUGAGUAAGAGCAUAACUGUUCGGACCCGAAAGAUGGUGAACUAUGCGUGGAUAGGGUGAAGCCAGAGGAAACUCUGGUGGAGGCUCGCAGCGGUUCUGACGUGCAAAUCGAUCGUCAAAUCUGCGCAUGGGGGCGAAAGACUUAUCGAACCAUCUAGUAGCUGGUUACCGCCGAAGUUUCCCUCAGGAUAGCAGUGUUGUUCUUCAGUUUUAUGAGGUAAAGCGAAUGAUUAGGGACUCGGGGGCUAUUUUUUGCCUUCAUCCAUUCUCAAACUUUAAAUAUGUAAGAAGCCCUUGUUACUUAAUUGAACGUGGGCAUUCGAAUGUACCAACACUAGUGGGCCAUUUUUGGUAAGCAGAACUGGCGAUGCGGGAUGAACCGAACGCGGGGUUAAGGUGCCGGAGUGGACGCUCAUCAGACACCACAAAAGGUGUUAGCACAUUUAGACAAUAGGACGGUGGCCAUGGAAGUCGGAAUCCGCUAAGGACUGUGUAACAACUCACCUAUCGAAUGUGCUAGCCCUGAAAAUGGAUGGCGCUCAAGCGUCCCACCCAUACCUCGCCCUCAGGGUAGAAACGAUGCCCUGAGGAGUAGGCGGCCGUGGG
rnacentral:rRNA from 1 species